UGGGGAUUAUUGCACAAUGGGCGCAAGACUGAUGCAGCCAUGCCGCGUGUAUGAAGAAGGCCUUUGGGUUGUAAAGUAUUUUCAGUCGGGAGGAAGGUGGUAAGGUUAAUAACCUUAUUAAUUGACGUUACCGACAGAAGAAGCACCGGCUACAUCCGUGCCAGCAGCCGCGGUAAUAGGGUGGGUGCAAGCGUUAAUCGGAAUUACUGGGCGUAAAGCGCACGCAGGCGGUUGAUUGAGUCAGAUGUGAAAUCCCCGGGCUUAACCCGGGAAUUGCAUCUGAUACUGGUCAGCUAGAGUCUUGUAGAGUGGGGUAGAAUGUCAUGUGUAGCGGUGAAAUGCGUAAGGAUGUGGGGGAAUGACGGUGGCGAAAGCGGCCCCCUGGACAAAGACUGACGCUCGGGUGCGAAAGCGUGGGUAGCAAACAGG
rnacentral:rRNA from 1 species